rnacentral:rRNA from 1 species
CUUUGAUCCUAACAUGUCCGAAUGGGGGAAACCCACUUACCAUAAGGUAGGUAUCGUAUCGUGAAUACAUAGCGAUACGAAGCGAACCGGGGAACUGAAACAUCUAAGGUACCCGGAGGAAAAGAAAUCAACCGAGAUUCCCUUAGUAGCGGCGAGCGAAAGGGGGAGCAGCCCUUAAGCUUAAUUGGUUUUAGUGGAACGCUCUGGAAAGUGCGGCGAUACAGGGUGAUAGCCCCGUACACGAAAAGGCCUUUUAAGUGAAAUCGAGUAGGACGGGACACGUGAUAUCCUGUUUGAAUAUGGGGGGACCAUCCUCCAAGGCUAAAUACUCCCAACUGACCGAUAGUGAACCAGUACCGUGAGGGAAAGGCGAAAAGAACCCCUGUGAGGGGAGUGAAAAUAGAUCCUGAAACCGUGUGCGUACAAGCAGUAGGAGCAGACUUGUUCUGUGACUGCGUACCUUUUGUAUAAUGGGUCAGCGACUUAUUGUUAGUGGCGAGGUUAACCGUAUAGGGGGAGCCGUAGCGAAAGCGAGUCUUAAUAGGGCGUUUAGUCGCUAGCAAUAGACCCGAAACCCGGC